UCAUAAAACAGAAUAAAAUAGACUAAUUCCAAGCUCCCACGAGACUUAACUUUUUGGAUAUACACUAAUAUCUCUGUACGUGCAUUUUAUCAUUGAUUUACUUAUAUCUUUAAAUGAAUGCUGGGUGCCAAUAGAAUUGAAUGUUUUUAAGGGUAUCGAUGCAUACCCCCACAAGCUGUAUAUAAGAGUACAUUUCUGCCCAUACCUCUGACAACAUACAGUAUUACCAAACAUUUGUCCUUUGUCAAAAGGGAUGUAAAUUACACAUUUUCAUAAUGUAUUUUUUCUUUAAAAGACUAUCUAAAAAAAAAUAAAAUAAAAUAAAAAAGACUGUAUCUAGAGAGUAAAGAGAUAAAAAAUGAGGUUAAAAAAGCAAAUAGGGUGAUUAUGAGGCACCCACUAAGCCGGUAAAUGUGUUUGAAUUCUACCAAAAGAGCACAGAAGAGCAAAAUGGUUAUUUUAAGCAAAGAGCAACCUAAAAUUUUCCUUUGAAAAGAAAACUCUGAUUGCAAUGUGCAAAACAAGAGAGGAGGGCAAGUCUACAGUCAUGGAAAUGAGUUAAUAGGCAAAAAUGUUCCGUAUUCAUUUCUGAGUAAGAGUUCAAAUAAGUAUUAAGCAACUAGAACUCUCUGGCUAACCAUUGAUUACCCUGUGAAUUAUCUAGUUAAAACACAGUGUCUUAAUUGUUAUACUUAAUAAUUGCACUGUUUAUAAUUUAAGUUGUUUAUUAUCUAAGGUUUAACACUCAGAGAAUUGAUUAAAUUGGGUAACUCCUCUCUUGGAUGGAAGCAAUAACCUUCAAUGGAAUGCUAACUACCUCUGAGAAUUAUGUUUAACUCCGACUUUCUUUGCCAUAGGCAGAAGUAAUUGAUUUUAGGCUGGGUGAACUGGUUCUUAAUACAUAUGCCCACAGGGAGAAUGUCAUUUUAAUAAGAUGCUUCUACAAGCCACAUCCUACUUAAAAUAGAAGGUUUUCCCUUUGCUUUUAUAAGCAAAAACUGAAGGAGUCCUGUUUGCCCUUAAGUUCAUAGUAAACAACUGUGAAGUAAUGUAACACUGAGUCGGCAGUCUACAAAGUACCUCUUUGCCAAUUCAGCUAUCUAUGUUUUGUUUUGUUUGUAGCUGAAGCUUUCCCAGGAAAAUACAUCUAUGUUUAACAUUCUUGAAAACCGCUAAUUAGUACACCUAAAUCUGCUUGUAUUGGCUCUGCAGCAGUUGUUCUCCUGAUUUCCUAAUCUAUUGUUUUGCUCUGCAACCACCAUGGCGCAACUAAAAUAAAAGUAUUCAAAUAAUUAGAAAUUGUGGAGGGGAGAUAAUAAAAUAAACCACUGCACCUCAAGAGAUCAAGACAAAAAAAUGGAGAGCCUUCAAGAAUAAAAAAUCAUCAGUUCAUUGAAACAGUCAAAUUUUGAUGUUGAUUCAGAUUUGACCCAAUCCUGAGUAGUUCAAAACUACUGAGUUGUAGAGAAAAUCGUUCACAUGUUUCUUUCAAUUCAUUAUUUAUAUAUCAUCUGUUAAAAUGUUUAAUUUUGGUAAAUGUUUUCUAGCUCACAUAAUACAUUAGCAUCAUGUAUGUUAUAUAUAAUAUUAACUUUAUUUAUGAAUACAUCCAUGUCAUAUAUGUAGGCCUAAAUUAUCUAUAUAACAAAGUUAAUUAUCAUGCAAUCAAAUUUGUUGCCCAUUGUUCUUACAUCUAAUUUACCAAAAUGCCAUAUGUAGCCUACUUUUAGGCAUUUACAUAAAAUUAAACAUUUAUAUUAAAAAAACAGUUACUUUAAACUUUUCAAGUUAUGGUUGGUAUUAUAGUCCUUCAACAAUAACUUUCACAAACUUCAUCACAAACCACUGGUGUAACCUGGCUUAUUUUAUAUAAUACACAGAUGAACUUUUACAACUAUUUUAUUAGUUGUGUAUUUAUUCUAAUGUCAGUUAGAAAAAUUGCACACAAAUGCCACGGACAUCAAGGCGUUGGGCUACAAGGACUUGGCUGCCACCCCCAAGGACAAACUAUCCUUAACAUGAGAUAGCCUGACCUCAUCAUGAUCUACAAGCGUCGCUAUCCCUAAUUCCCUCCUGGAACAUAGGGAAUUACUACUCAGAAGUACUACUCAGUACUCAGAAGCCAAGAUCUCGCUGUCACCCAAAUCUGCAUCUUCCCACCAUCCCCAGAGGUGUGGGCAGAGAGCUGGACCUCUGGAACCAUCUCCCAUGCUUCACCUCAAGAAUCACUGGGACCUCUCAGAACACCCUGGCCCAUUUCCACCAUCAUCCUACUCAGAUUCUAACAUGUACAAAUAGCCAUGCAUCCACAAGCAGAGAGAAUCCAUGGAAGGCAGCUCUCAGAGCAAGCCUUUCAUUGAGGAUCUUAUCAUCAAGUCAUCCAAGUUCCCCAUAACCCAGUCACUCACUUCGACCCACCCACCAAGAUUGAAACUGAUUAUUGGUCAUGCCCUCUGUCACUGGUCAUUGCAGAAACAGAAAGACAGAAGCAGAAGGAGCACAGAAAAAGGCAGAAGAAGAGGAUAAAUCCAGAAAAGAGAUGAAAACUCCCAGGAAGAGUCAGAGAAAGGAACUCGGUAAGGUGACUUUCUAACGUAGGAAAGAUAAUCUUCAAGAAAGAGAUGAAAGAGUCAUCGCCUACAUGAGGAAAACUCAGUCCCUACCGGAUCAGACACCCUUUGAAACCUCCCUGCACUCUAGGUCACCUAAGUGUUCUCUCCCUAACUAAGGCAAGACCACGCUGAGCUAGCUACAGUCCACAGACUUCAGCCCGUGGGGAGUGAGAUUGGAAGGCCAGGACUGUAGAUCUGUCAUUAUGAAAUGCUGGUAGCAACCAAUUAAAGGUAAACCGAGUUUCCUCCAGAUGUGGAUGAGAUGAGGUUUGAGAUGUGUCUCUCAAGUGAGGAUUUAUCAGGGGUAUUUUCCAUAUCUCCUGAAUAAUUUGACAAACUGGCUCUGUUAAAGCAGAACAAACUCAAGAUAAAGUAUUAUCUUCUCUGAUUGUCCCCACCAUCACUCUCCAUGACUGGAGCUCACUGCUUCAGGGCUCUGGAGCUGGGAUCACUGAUCCCAAGGCUUCCUUUUCCUAUAGUGAGCAGGGAGUGAUCAUCUCUUGGGGAGCAGGGAGGUGGGACAGAGCUGGAUUUGGCUCCAUUCCUCAAGUGGAGAGGCAGCCAAGAACUUUGCAGCCCCGGGGUUGUGAGACAUGGACUUUCUCCCCCAUAAUGAGGGGGUAGGGGUGCUCUUUCUCAUCCCUGGCACUCAAUGCACAAGGCAAACCCAGUCUGGGCAUAAAGUUAUGGUUUUGCCCACACCCACAAGAAGAGGAGCAAUUAAGAAAAAAAUGAACAUGGCUCCUAGUGGUCAGUCCUGUCAGGUUUGUUGACCAUUAGGUAAGUACAACCCUUGGCCCUGAUUGGUGAGUGUGAGAAGCAGCCAGGCAGGCAAAGAAACUCCAAGACCCUGUGUGCCAAGCUCUUAUCCUCAUCUCAACUUUUAUAGCUUGCCCUACACCUGGGCCUCUACUCUUCUGACUCCAGCAGAAAGAGGCUCCAGCUCAAGGAGAUCUCUAGCAGGGAGGCUGCCCUGUUUACCCUCCUUUACUUGCCACCCUCAAGAAUGGAAGUCUCUUGCUCCAGUACUGACUUCCUCAGAAGCCUUGGUUUAAGUUGGAGAUGUCGUCUAUACAAAACCCCAGUCUACAUCAGACUCAAGCCCAAGUCAACUUGAACUCUACAUUCUAGAACCAACUCAGGUCCUGGGCAGAACCCAAACCUUCAAACUUCUUUGGAGGAGAUUAAGAGAAACGGUUACAA
rnacentral:lncRNA from 1 species